rnacentral:lncRNA from 12 species
UUUGCCUUCAGAGUUAGUUCCUUUGAUUGAGAACAUGAUUGCAAAAUCUGAUUUUGGUCUGAUCAGAUGCUUUUGUCCUUUGGUUUCCCCCAGAACUGUGAUCUAUGAAUUCUCAGAGGAUACUGAAGUUUCCUGAAUAUGAACACUUCUAGAGACAUGGGCAACAAACCAAAUGGACUUCAUGUGAAAUUAUUGACUACUCUGUGCCUCUCAGCCUCAAUUAGCCCCUAAUUCUAGGCACCUGGAAGCCAAAGCAAACCAUAAGGAGCCACAAGCACUACCCCGAUGCAGCAUCUCUGGAAGGAAGUUUCACAUGAUGACCACCCAUUUCCAGGCUCUCAGAGUACCUGUAUGCAUGAGCUUUUCAGUGGGAUUGGCCUUAUCCAUUCACAAAUGUGGCAGUCUUCACUCCCCAAAAAGUCUCUAUACUUUGGACUUUCUAAUAUCACCUGCAGUAAGGAGAACACAAAGAUGUAAUUACUCAUUGAUCUAUGAGAAUACUUGAAUACUGAUAGCUGACAGCUCUACAAAGACCAGAGGGCUCAGAGAUUCCUCAUAAGAAAUUAUUAAGCAGAUUGCAUUUGCCAAGAAACAGAACUUCAUAGUUGAUACAUAAACUGUUAAGAAAAAGAAAAGAAGGAGGAAGAAAGGAAAGGAAAGGAAAGAAAGGAAAGGAAAGGAAAGGAAAGGAAAGGAAAGGAAAGGAAAGGAAAGGAAAGGAAAGGAAAGGAAUAAUAAUAAAAAAAAAAACAGACACA